CGUGCUUAACACAUGCAAGUCAAGGAGAAAGGGAUCUUCGGAUUCCUGAGUAAACUGGCGGAUGGGUGAGUAACACGUAGGUAAUCUGCCUUUCGGACCGGGAUAACACGGCUAACGCGGUGCUAAUACCGGAUGUAGCGUUUGGAUCGCCUGAUCUGAGCGUGAAAGGUUGGCUUUUGCUAACGCCGAGAGAUGAGCCUGCGUCCCAUUAGCUAGUUGGUGAGGUAACGGCUCACCAAGGCAACGAUGGGUAGCCGGCCUGAGAGGGUGAACGGCCACACUGGGACUGAGAUACGGCCCAGACUCCUACGGGAGGCAGCAGUGAGGAAUAUUGCGCAAUGGACGAAAGUCUGACGCAGCAACGCCGCGUGAGGGAUGAAGCUCUUAGGAGUGUAAACCUUUUUUAGGAGGGAAGAACGGGUAGCAUUCGAACAGGGUGUUACUGUGACGGUACCUCCAGAAUAAGCCCCGGCUAACUCCGUGCCAGCAGCCGCGGUAAUACGGGGGGGGCUAGCGUUGUCCGGAAUUAUUGGGCGUAAAGGGCGCGUAGGCGGGAUAGUCAGUCUGAGGUGAAAGCCCAGGGCUUAACUUUGGGUUUGCCUUGGAUACUGCUAUUCUUGAGUUCGCCAGAAGGGAAGUGGAAUUCCCUGGUGUACCGGUGAAAUGCGUAGAUAUCCAAGGAAGAACACCGGUGGCGAAGGCGGCUUCCUGGUCCGAUACUGACGCNUGAGGCGCGAAAGCGUGGGGAGCGAACAGGAUUAGAUACCCCUGGUAGUUCCACGCUGUAAACGAUGGGCACUAGGUGUUGGAUAUUGAUUUCAGCGCCGGAGCUAACGCAUUAAGUGCCCCGCCUGGGGAAUACGAUCGCAAGAUUGAAACUCAAAGGAAUUGACGGGGGCCCGCACAAGCGGUGGAGCAUGUGGUUUAAUUCGAUGCAACGCGAAGAACCUUACCUGGGCUUGAACUGCAUCUGACGGUCUCUGAAAGGGGAUUUUCCUUCGGGACAGAUGUAGAGGUGCUGCAUGGCUGUUGUCAGCUCGUGCCGUGAGGUGUUGGGUUAAUCCGCACGAGCGCAACCCUGCCUUAGUGCCACAGUCAGCUGGGAACUUAAGGGGACUGCCCCGGAUAACGGGGAGGAAGGUGGGGAUGACGUCAAGUCAUCAUGGCCCUUACGUCCAGGGCUACACACGUGCUACAAUGGCCGGUACAGAGGGUAGCGAACCCGCGAGGCGGAGCCAAUCCCCAAAACCGGUCUCAGUUCGGAUUGUAGUCUGCAACUCGACUGCAUGAAGUUGGAAUCGCUAGUAAUCGCGGAUCAGCAUGCCGCGGUGAAUACAUUCCCGGG
rnacentral:rRNA from 1 species